rnacentral:rRNA from 1 species
UACGGAGGGUGCGAGCGUUGUCCGGAAUUGACUGGGCGUAAAGGGCGCGUAGGUGGCGCUGCAAGUCGGUGGUGAAAGCUCGUCGCUUAACGACGAGUCGGCCAUCGAAACUGCGGGGCUGGAGCACUGUAGGGGCAGAUGGAAUUCCGGGGUGUAGCGGUGGAAUGCGUAGAGAUCCGGAAGAACACCAGUGGCGAAGGCGGUCUGCUGGGCAGUUGCUGACACUGAGGCGCGACAGCGUGGGGAGCAAACAGG